GAUCAGUGAUGAAAACAGCCAAAUGGGAGCAUCAGAAGACCUUCCAGUUAGUCUGAUGUAUGAUCCAUAGUGUUCCGAGA
ensembl:snoRNA